rnacentral:misc_RNA from 1 species
AGAGAGAGAGAGAGAGAGGGAGCAUUAAAUGGGAUCUGGGAGAGUGGGUUGCAGGAGAUAAGGAGAGAGAUAGAGGGAGAGGCAGAUUGGGGUAGCAAUGAAGGCAGUCUGAGAGAAAAGGAACAGACAAUCGCAGCGAUAAAAGCAAGCAAUUAAUUUACCCUCUCUAGUAUCAGACCAAAAUUUAUUAGUCUCAUCUUUCUCCAUUAAUGCCCUCUUCUUUUCUUUUCUCUUCUCAUUUUUUUACUAUUAUAUUUCUGGAGUUCUGUCCCGCUUUUAAUUUCUUGACUGUGAAACCAUGUUCACUGGUAACAGAGAAAUGCAAUGCUAGCUUUUAAUUUUUCAAAUAUUUUGAACCAAAAGGAGCCGUUAAGCUUGGGGUUACGUUUGCAUAUUCCAUACAACAAAAGAAGGGUAAAUAAAAAUUGGCAACAAAACCUUUCUAAGCUGUGUGGGAUACUUGUGAAAGGGACUGAAGCUCAUGGGCAUGGGGCCAAUGGAAUUGCUGUGGUUAAAGAAUUAGGAACAAGAAGUUAAAGAACACACAAUGUAAGGUGGAGGUGGAGCCGUACCAGAUCAGAAUCAUUUAAUCAGGCGAUGGAAAUUAGCCAUUUAGCUGCGUCAGUGCAGGUGCAGCACAUGCGAUUUGAUUUUUUAUGGUUUUUGAGUUUCCUACAAGCAAAACCUUCUUCUAUGGCUAAAAGCCUUAACUAUUGUCUUAUCCUUUCAUUUUCUGGGAAAUUUAACAUCUGCAGA